rnacentral:rRNA from 1 species
AUGCUCCACCUUCGGAAGCGCGUCCUCUCCCAUCUCCUCUCCGCCGCGCCAGCGCCUUCCACAUCCCGACUCCUCUCUCUCCACCGCCUCCUCUCCGCGGCCGCGCCCGCCGUUUCCCCCAACCCUAGCUUCGCCGUCGAGGAGUACCUCGUCGGCGCCUGCGGCCUCACCCGUGCCCAGGCACUCAAGGCCUCCGCCAAGCUCUCCCACCUCAAGUCCCCCGCCAACCCCGACGCCGUCCUCGCCUUCCUCGCCGGCCUCGGCCUCUCCGGCGCCGACGUCGCGGCCGUCGUCGCCAAGGACCCGCGGUUCCUCUGCGCCAAAGUGGAGAGAACUCUGUCCCCCGUCGUCGUCGGGCUCACCGGCCUCGGUCUAUCCCCUUGUGAUAUCGCGCGCCUCGUCUUGCUCGUCCCCGACAACUUCCGCCAGAGAUGCGUCGUCUCCAAGCUAGAGUACUACCUGCCACUCUUCGGCUCCUUCGAAAACAUGAUCCGGCCGCUCAAACAUGGCUCCUCCAUCCUCGACUCUGACCUCGAGAGGGUGGUCAAGCCCAAUGUCAGUCUCCUAGCAGAGUGCGGAAUAGGUGCUUGUGAUAUUGCCAAGCUCUUCGUAUGUUCGCCGUGGAUACUGUGUGCCAAACCAGGGCGUGUCCUGGAGAUGGUUGCGUGUGCUGAAGGUAUAGGUGUGCCCUGUGGCUCUGGAAUGUUCAGGCAAGCGCUGCAGGCCGUCUCAUACUUGAGCGAGGACAAGCUCGCUGCCAAAGUGGACUACUUGAAGAAGACAUUUAGGUGGUCAGAUACGGAGGUCCGCACUGCUGUGUCCAAGUGGCCGGUUGUGCUAAGGUGCUCAAAGGACACGCUGCAGCGCAAGUCCGAGUUCCUCAUCUCUAAGGUGGGCUUGGAACCGGCGCGCAUUGCUCACUGGCCGGUUAUCCUCGGUCUUAACCUGGAGGGCCGGCUCAGGCCCCGGUACCAUGUUAUGAGGUUUCUUAAGGAAAAUGGAUUGCUCAAGCGUGACCCAAGCGACUGUACAAUUGUUAAAUUGACUGAGAAAGAGUUCUUGGAGAAGUUCAUAUGCCCUCACAAGGACGCUGCACCAUACCUUGCUGAAGACUAUGCAACCGCUUGCAGAGGGGAAGUGCCUGCGAGAUUCAUAUUUGCAUGA